rnacentral:rRNA from 1 species
CAUAGGGGGCAAGCGUUAUCCGGAAUUAUUGGGCGUAAAGGGUGAGUAGGCGGUUUUGUAAAGUUUGGGGGUGUAAGUGCAGUGCUUAACGCUGUGAGGCUCCAAAAACUGGCAAACUAGAGUUAGAUAGAGGCAAGUGGAAUUCCAUGUGUAGCGGUAAAAUGCGUAAAUAUAUGGAGGAACACCAGUGGCGAAGGCGGCUUGCUGGGUCUAUACUGACGCUGAGGCACGAAAGCGUGGGGAGCAAACAGGAUU